rnacentral:rRNA from 1 species
AUUCGAUGCAACGUGAAAAACCUUACCUAUUCUGUGACAUCACAGAGAACGUCGUUUGUGCCUUCGGCUACUCAGAGACAGGUGCCGCAUGUUAAGUGUUGGGUUAAGUCCCACAACAAGCGCAACCCUUAUCCUUUGUUGCCAGCGAUUUGGUACACACCGCCCGUCACACCCUGUGAGUGGGUUGUGAAAGAAAUAGUUAGGCUGAACAACCUUCGGGAGGUUGCUUCUCACUCUGGGAAGCAUGACUAAGUAAAGUCGUAACAAGAUAACCGUAGGGAAACCUGUGGGUGGAUCACCUCUUUACUUAA